rnacentral:rRNA from 1 species
CACGGGGGGAGCAAGCGUUGUUCGGAAUCAUUGGGCGUAAAGGGCGCGUAGGUGGCGGGACAAGCGUGCGGUGAAAGCCUGGGGCUCAACCCCGGGUCGGCCGUGCGAACUGUUUUGCUUGAGCACUGUAGAGGCAGGCGGAAUUCCGGGUGUAGCGGUGGAAUGCGUAGAGAUCCGGAAGAACACCGGUGGCGAAGGCGGCCUGCUGGGCAGUAGCUGACACUGAGGCGCGACAGCGUGGGGAGCAAACAGG